CUUCAGGUUACACCUUCUCAAA
rnacentral:miRNA from 15 species